rnacentral:rRNA from 1 species
AUGCAUGAUCAGGUCGGCCUGGACCUGGACGGCUUCCCACUCGACCACGAGUUUCCGGAGGACUACGGGCAAGAGGAAGAGGGCGAGUGCGACAUCGGAGGGGAGCCUUUAUUCGGGGACGACCUCGCCAACCAAGCCGACGGGGUGAAGCCGAAGCGCAAGAGCAAGCGAACGAAGGGAUACACGGCGGCCAAGGACAAGCUUCUUUGUGAGUGUUGGAGAGACAUUGGGCAAGACCCCAAGACGGGCGCCGAACAAAAGGCAUCAACCUUUUGGAUUCAUGUCCACCGUCAGUUCCAUGAGCGCAAGAAGUUUCCGCCGUACGAAAUACUAAGCACGCGCGGGUGGGUGUCCAUUUUGAAGCAAUGGAGGGUGAUCCAACAAGAGUGCAACAAUUUUUGUGCCACUCUUGAGAGCGUCAAGGCCCGCCCCAUGAGCGGCAUCGGCAUGCAAGACAUGGUAUGCUAG